AUCUGUUUGACGAGUCUCAAAUAGGACGAAACGCGCAUCCUGGAU
rfam:Schistosoma margrebowiei strain Zambia genome assembly, scaffold: SMRZ_contig0000024